rnacentral:rRNA from 1 species
AUUGAACGCUGGCGGCAUGCCUUACACAUGCAAGUCGAACGGUAGAGGGGCAACCCUCGAGAGUGGCGAACGGGUGAGUAAUGCAUCGGAACGUGCCCAGUCGUGGGGGAUAACGUAGCGAAAGCUACGCUAAUACCGCAUACGACCCGAGGGUGAAAGCGGGGGACUCGCAAGGGCCUCGCGCGAUUGGAGCGGCCGAUGUCAGAUGAGGUAGUUGGUGGGGUAAAGGCCUACCAAGCCGACGACCUGUAGCUGGUCUGAGAGGACGACCAGCCACACUGGGACUGAGACACGGCCCAGACUCCUACGGGAGGCAGCAGUGGGGAAUUUUGGACAAUGGGCGCAAGCCUGAUCCAGCCAUGCCGCGUGCGGGAAGAAGGCCUUCGGGUUGUAAACCGCUUUUGUCAGGGAAGAGAUCUUCUGGGUUAAUACCUCGGGAGGAUGACGGUACCUGGAGAAUAAGCACCGGCUAACUACGUGCCAGCAGCCGCCGUAACAC